rnacentral:rRNA from 1 species
AAUAUUUGACAAUGGGCGAAAGACUGAUCCAGCCAUGCCGCGUGUGUGAAGAAGGUCUUCGGAUUNUAAAGCACUUUAAGUUGGGANGAAGGGUCGUAGACUAAUACUCUGCACUUUUGACGUUACCGUAAGAAUAAGCACCGGCUCACUUCGUGCCAGCAGCCGCGGUAAGACGAAGGGUGCAAGCGUUAAUCGGAAUUACUGGGCGUAAAGCGCGCGUAGGUGGUUCGUUAAGUUGGAUGUAAAAGCCCCGGGCUCAACCCGGGGACUGCAUCCAAAACUGGCGGGCUAGAGUACGGUAGAAGGUGGUAGAAUUUCCUGUGUAGCGGUGAAAUGCGUAGAUAUAGGAAGGAACACCAGUGGCGAAGGCGACCACCUGGACCGAUACUGACACUGAGGUGCGAAAGCGUGGGGGGCAAACAGG